CGCCAAAGAGGCGCUCGAGGCCGCGGCGCUCGACCACGCAGCGGAUGAGGCUGCGUUUCGCAAGGAUCUCAUGAACAUCGCGCGAACCACCCUGUCCUCCAAGAUCCUCACGCACGACAAGGACCACUUCGCGAACCUGGCGUGCGACGCGGUGAUGCGCCUGAAGGGCAGCGGGAACCUGGAGAUGAUCCAGCUGAUCCAGAAGCCCGGAGGAUCCCUGAAGGACUCGUUCCUGGACGAAGGGUUCAUCCUGGACAAGAAGUUCAACACCGGGCACCCCAAGAAGAUUGAAAACGCCAAGAUUCUCAUCGCGAACACCCCGAUGGACACCGACAAGAUCAAAAUCUACGGAGCGCGCGUGCGAGUGGACUCGAUGGCGAAGGUUGGCGAGAUCGAGGCUGCGGAGAAGGCGAAGAUGGCCGCCAAGUGCGAGAAGAUCGCGAAGCACGGCUGCAACCUCUUCAUCAACCGCCAGCUCAUCUACAACUACCCGGAGCAGGUUCUCAGCGACCUCGGCGUCACGUCCAUCGAGCACGCCGACUUUGACGGCGUCGAGCGACUCGCGCUGGUCACCGGCGGCGAGAUCUGCUCCACCUUCGACGACCCCGAGGGCAACGUGCUCGGCACGUGCGACACCGUCGAGGAGAUUAUGAUCGGCGAGGACAGGCUCAUCAAGUUCAGCGGCGUCGCAAAGGGCGAGGCGUGCACAAUCGUGCUCCGCGGCGCAUCGUCGCACGUGCUCGGCGAGGCGGAACGGUCCCUCCACGACGCGCUCUGCGUGCUCGUAUCCACCGUGAAGGAUAGCCGGGUGGUUUACGGCGGCGGGUGCCCCGAGAUGAUCAUGUCCAAGGCGGUCGAGGAGCUCGCGGCGAAGACCCCGGGCAAGCGCUCGCUCGCCAUGGAGGGUUUCGCCAAGGCGCUGAGGAUGAUCCCGACGAUCAUCUGCGAGAACGCGGGUCUGGACUCGAGCGAGAUUGUGAGCCAGCUGCGCGCCAGCCACGGCCGCGGCGACCACAAGAUGGGCGUGGACAUCCUCACCGGGGAGACGGGCGACAUGGAGCAGUGCGGGAUCACCGAGUGCUUCAGGGUCAAGCAGCAGGUGUUGCUCUCGGGUACCGAGGCGGCGGAGAUGAUCAUCCGCGUCGACGACAUCAUCAAGUGCGUGCCCAGGCAGCGCGAGCAGUAAAGCACGCCGGCGAGAGAGCGAGGUUCAUUUGUCAAUUCAAAGGUUUAGUCUCAACUCGACAGAAACGAACAUAUACGUACUCGCGUGCUGUGCGUGAAGUCCGGCGAGCAGGGAGACGAAUCCAUUUUUUUCCACCUCCGAACGAAACCCUGCCACGCGGUUUGUUUUCGGGGCAGGCGCAGAUAGUCAGAACACCCGCGUGUGUAUUUCGGAGCAUUUCGGAGUGCAAACAGGUGCCAGGCGUGCCAGUCAGAACACCCGCGUGUGUGGUAUACUCAACAAAGGGGCUCUCUCGCCGGUGCUUCGCGCAUCGCGCACUGUCUUUAUAGACUAGCUAGACUAGCUUCCCGGGCAUCAUCGGGCGCUCUCCCAACUGCGGUGAUGGAAGUGCGGUGCAGCCGCGCGAAAACGACGUACUCGCACAGACAUACUAGAGUCUACGAAGGCACUACCUCACCACCGCACACAGGUGGCGGCGAAUUAUAUUUCGAGGUAGUCUAGCAGUGCUAGGGAAAUUUUUCCACCUCCGACGGGUGCACACGGUGGAAUCUCGUAUGGGCAAACACCCUGAUGGGAGGCAACGGGGGAGCGUAUGCGCCCCGGUGACAACACCCGCGUGUGCGGUACCACCAGAGAUUUUGGAGGGGGGGGUGUGAACUCGGUGAGUUCAACACAUCUUAGCUGCGACGGGAUGAACCUCAGUAGAUCGUAGCAGCAAGGCUACUCUGCUACUUACAGUACCCGGCAGCGCAUUAAAGUCGUCUGCAAUGGAUGUAUCGGUCCGGCCGUUCGGAAUUGCGAUCGCAAUGCUAUUCAUAAAACUAUACGUAGUCGAUUAACGACGGACCGGUAGGUGGUGCUCCAUCGAGGACUGCUACCAAGCUUAGAGGCGUUCAGCUGUUAGCAUGUCACGCGUAGCUUCGCGCCAUCGGCUUUUCAGCCGAGCGCAUUACCAAAUGCGUGAUCGGAUGGUUCCUCUCGUACUGAAUCCGGUUACUCUUGGAGCACGGCCAACGGUAGGGUAAAACUAACCUGUCUCACGACGGUCUAAACCCAGCUCACGUUCCCUAUUGGUGGGUGAACAAUCCUACACUUGGCGAAUUCUGCUUCGCAAUGAUAGGAAGAGCCGACAUCGAAGGAUCAAAAAGCAACGUCGCUAUGAACGCUUGGCUGCCACAAGCCAGUUAUCCCUGUGGUAACUUUUCUGACACCUCUAGCGUCAAAUUCCGACAAGCUAAAGGAUCGAUAGGCCAUGCUUUCACAGUUUGUGCUAGUACUGAAAGCCAAAAUCAAAUGAGCUUUUACCCUUUUGUUCCACAAGAGAUUUCUGUUCUCUUUGAGCUCAUCUUAGGACACCUGCGUUAUCUUUUAACAGAUGUGCCGCCCCAGCCAAACUCCCCACCUGACAAUGUCUUCCACCUGGAUCGCAUAAAGCUUGGGGCUAGAAGCAGGGCCG
rnacentral:rRNA from 1 species